UCCCAGGCCAGGGAUCAAAUCUGAGCUGAAUCUGUGACCUACGCCACAGCUGCAGCAACACUGUAUCCUUAACCCAUGGUGCCACAGAGGGAACUCCUAUUCCUAAAAAUUUUAACAGUGAUUUCCUAAUAUCAUCCAGCAAGUGUGUAUGUUUCUCCAUUCUGUAUUUCUCAUAUGUAAUUUGCAGUUGUAUCUAGUGGGCGGGUGAGACACAUUUGAUUUUUUACUAUUUCCCUUUCCACACUCAGAAUUCUUUGAUGCCACUUGCUAAGAGCAGCCCACAUACGAGGAGGAAGAGGGGAAGUCCAGAGAGUCAUUUUGAAGUCAAAUAAUUUUUUUUUCCCUGCUAAUCAUCUUGGGUUUGGUAAAGAGUCAAAGGUGGAAGAAAGGACUCAGAGCUGAGUAGAUAUUCCAGGAGAAUAUAAGGCAAAAAAAAAAAAGAGUUCCUUUGGCUGAGGAGCUGUGAUGACUAAUCUAUAAUUUUAGGUUGCUUAUUUCUGGGUUAUAAUUUGUAACUUUGAGUGAAAUUUAUUAAAUUCCUACUGCCUAGCGUCAACAUUAGUUGGCAAAGCAGAAUUGAGAAAAGUGAGCAGUGGUUUUCAGAGAGCAGCUGUAGAACGGCAGUCACCAGUGAAAGGCAACAAGUGGCAACAACCAAAACAUAGGAGCCCCUUGUGGGCAUCCUCAGGCAUUCAGGAGGGAUGUGAAUUUCCUCUCCUAAAACAAGAAGCUUGAUUUCUUUUCAUUAGAUCAUAAAGAAAAAGGUGACCCCAGAAGGCUGGAGUUCUGGGGUUGCUCAUGAUGUAUAUAUUUUCAUAAAGCAAAAUGGCUAUAACAUGAUGAAUCAAUUAGGGAUUAUAGUGUGAAAUGAUCUUAUCACAGGGACCUCUGUUUGUUAUAAAGUGAUAGUGUUUUGGAAUAUAACAUAGACUCUGAUAGGAAAGUAGCUGCUAAGUAACUCACAGGAUCGCUCUUUAUUUGAAUGGCUGUCCACUUAGGUUUUUUAAAUAAAAUGUAAUUUUUUAUUGCUCUUUGUUUACUUUUAGUGGUAGUGAAUUGCUACCAAAACUGCUAGUUCAAGACCAGUAGUAAUAAAGAAUUUUACGAAGUUCAUGAAUUUAUGUAUUUAAAGGCUUAGGAGUUUUGUUUUUUUCUCAGAUUUUAUACAUUUUUUUUUACUUUGUUUUUUGGUUCCCACAUUUACUGAAAUGAAUUAAAUUCCACCCAUUCCACUUACUGAAUUCUACCCCUCAGUUAAUUCACACUGAACAUUAUUAUUGGUCCCUGCCAGCACCCGUUUAUUUUAUGUAGUAGCGUCCUCAUUUCUACUCCAUUUCUGCCCCCUCAUUGCUGUUCUAUUGCAUGUAUGUUCCUCCAUUCUGCCAUUUUUAUUCUCAUGUACAUCAUAUUGUAUAUAUAUGUGUUUUACUUGAUAUAAGUGGUAUUAUGAUCGAAUUCUCAUUUUAAAUCCCUUUUUUAUGCCAUACUCUGUUUAUGACGCUAUGCAUAUCACUCAGUGGAUAUUUAGCUUACUAAAUCUCUUAAAAAUAUUUCCUUACAUGCACAUUCCUCACUUUACUUUUUGGUACCACCACCAAUAUUUACCAUGAAUCUCUUGAUAUAUUUGUUCUUCUGGGCCUUGGCAAGAGUUUCUCUGCAGUCUACAGCCAGAAGUAGGAUUUCUGGGUCAUUGGAUAUUCCUGCACUUAAUUUCUCUAAGCACUGGCAACAUUUUUUCCAUAAUGGCUGCAACAGUUUUGUGACCAGAAAUACAAAAUUACCAUUUCCUAGAUUUUGUCAGUAAUUGGAGUUACGUGAAUUUAUAAUUUUGCCAUUUUUAUGUGUAUAAAAUAGUAUUUCCUUAUUUAAUUUGCAUUCCUCUGACUAUGACCGGGUUUGAGCAUGUCUCACACGUGUUGCAGUUUGGUUUUCUUCUUUUGUAAGUUGCUUAUUCAUAGCCUUUGUCCAUUUUUCUGUGGGAUUUUUUUGUCUUCAUGAUUUUUAUUUCAAUUAUUUACACCCAAUGCGUUAUCCAUCUGCUGACAUUGUGUGUGGUGACUUUCUUUAAACAGGGACCUUUGAUUUUAUUUUUAUAACGUCUGUCACUUUUCCUCCUUAAGGUUUGUUCUUUGAGAAUAUUGUGUAAGAAAUCGUUUUCUCCGUCAAGAUCAUGAAGACAUUCUCCUAUAUAACCUUUAAUUAGCUUUAUGUUUUAAUUUUGCUUUUUAUGUUUUGGUUUCUAAUACAUCUGGAGUCCACAUCUGGAGACUGUGUGAGUGUCAUUUUAGAUUACCCCUGGCAAUGUAUGGGAAUGCCCAUUCCUUGUCCUGUGGGAGAAGAUCAUUUGGCAGAGGUAAUGCAGCCCAGAUUGCAGAAUCAAGUUGCAGGUUGAAGAAUGUGAGUGCCAAUCCUCUCCAAUUCUGUAAGUCAGUGAAUAUCACAUCUAUUCAGACAGCUUCCUGAUAUUAGAUCAUUCUGAAAUAUAACCUUCCUUACGAUGCAACAGUGACCUCACAUUCAGGCAUGUCAAGAAAAUAUGACCUUCUGACUUCUUAACAAAAUUUUAUCCCAAGUGACUUGGUAAAAACACUGCGCACACCUUAUUAAACAAUCCAAGGGAAAAUGUCUCUUCUAUCUGUAGUGGAAGAAUCACAUUGACAUUUGGCAAAGGUCAGAGCUUCAGAAAUGUAACUUAGUAAUAAACUGCUAGUAUUUUUAUAUUGUGGUGGUAAAAGAAAACUGCAGGAUUUUUUUUUUUUUUGACAUGUUUAAUUCUUACCAAGAACUUCCUAAGCACAUUGUUUUUCUACUGAAACUCAGCCUGUUCCACAUUUUUGACAGAAAAGCUAAGUCUUUCCUUUUGAAAAAUAAGAGUUUUUUUUUUUUUUCUCAAAGAUCUAUGUAUGCUAGAGGUCUAGGAAAUUUAUAAGCUUUGGCACAGGCUUCCUCACAUUCACAAAACUGACUUAAGAUGACCCUGAAAUAGAACAAAUCCAAAAGAGCUCUGGAAAUAGGGAAGAAAACCAUCUAUAUGCCUCAAUACUAGAGACUAUUUACUAACUAUAAUAUAGGAGGAACUAUGUUGAAAGAAAUCAUUAGAACUGGCCUAUAAUAUUGCUUUUUAAAUCAGUAGAAUCACAUGAAAUGACAAGGGAGAUUAUGGGAGAUUCCCCACUGAUAGCCCUUAUUUCGAGGGGUGAGAGCUAGAGGUGAGGGGAUGGCGUUGGGACAAAAGGUAAAACUUCCGUGAUAUGAAUCAACAGCGUCUAAAGCAGUUAAUACAAAGGGCCCCAGGAGAAAUAUGGCCACAUCAAGAAGCAGUAUGUGAGCAAUGGGGCUUCUUUCUGAUACGGCUGGGCUUUUCCAUGGCAUGGUAGCUGUGGCCUUAAGAAGAAGAAAGGCCACAGCCAAAGCCACAGUACAAUCAUUUAACAAAUACUUACACAGCCUUUAUUGUAUUCCAGGCAUUGUUUUAUAUUAGUGGUUCUCAGUUGGGGUGAUUUUGCCCCCCCCUUGGGACAUUUGGAAACCUCCCGGGAUAUUUUUGGUUGUCACAACUGGGAAGAAGCUGCUGCUAACAUCUGGUUUGUGGAGACCGAGGAUUCUACCAAACAUGCUAAAAUGCACAGGACCACCCUCACGGCAGAGAAUUAUCAGGCCUGAAAUGUACCUGGAUGUUAGAAGAGGAAAAUCUUUUUUACCUGUUGUGGUCACUGGGCUAGAAGGAAGUGAAUCUGGAUGAGUGGGCAGUCGCUUUCCUUGCUGCAUGGUGAGGGGCUUCUCUGAAGAAAGAAGGCGGACUAUAACCAGAAGCCAAUUUGAGAGCUGGAGAGAGAUGAGCUCCAUGACCCUCUGGUGUGUGAAUGGAGAUGAGCAGAAAGAGUCAGAACCUUCGCCCUGUAUUGUGCAGAGAACUUGGGUGUCUAACCCUUGAUACCAAGUGAAUUCCCAGCUUACUGAGGGAGAGGUGGAAGCAUCCAUCACACUGUGGCAGAAGACUGAAAACUACUUCUUGUAUGCUGGCAGGUAUCAGAAGCAUCAGCUGAAUAUUUCUUCUACCUCGGCACGUGGAGGAAGGUAGCACGGAUACUGUAAGAACAUCCACGCACAGGUUUCAGCUGAAAGACACACUGAAGAAUCUCAGUUUGUGCUCAUUAGCAAGUGGCGGUUGCCUGCCUGCUCCUUCUACACCCAUUUCUCCUGUACCGGCACUGUUGGUCUGCAAGGCUCAGGGGAUACAGAGAUGAAAAAAUAUCUCCUGUUCUCAAGUAGCCCACAGCCCACUGUGAAUCCAAAUAUGAAAUUCAGGACUGGACAGACUUUUCACCAUUGACUCUGAAGUGAGGAAAGCAGCCCUUAGCUCUGGAACAAGGCAGGUAACUGACCAGGGACACUCAAGAUGCUGGCCUUGUCAAAACUGUGAUUUAACCAAUUGAAUUAAGCAGCUAGUGCUGUCUCUGAAGUGUAGGUAUUACCUAAGUACUCAUGAAAGGAUCUCAGUAACUCCCAGGAAAUCUCGAAAAUAAGAGUCCACGUGUCCUGAUUAUUUGGGAUUUUUGAGCAUUUUCCAUUAGUUGUAACUGUAUUUUGAAUAUUUACAACCUUUCUGCUCCUCUCUGUCCUUUCUACAUAGCAGAAAAUUAUGUUCCUUUAGUUAUUCACCUCUGUUAUGAAAGCAGGUGCAAGAUUCUUAGCUAAUAAAUCUACAACUACAAAGAUCUUGCACAAGCCCCUUCCCCACAAUGCACACCGAGUAUUGUCGUGUUGGCCUUCCCAGGCCUUCCAACAUUGUGUUUUGUAUCUGAGCACUACUAAAGCUUGGGUUGUCCAACACUCCUCUACAAGUGUGUCACUUCUUUCUCUCCCUCUUUUUUUUUUUUGGCCACACCCACAGCAUGCAGAUGUUCCUGGGCCAGGGAUUGAACCCAAGCCACAACAGUGACCUGAACCUCAGCAGUGACAACACUGAGCCCUUAACCACUUGGUCACCAGGGAACUCCACUGUGUUACUUCUUAAGAAGUUUCUCUCCAGUGGUAGGUGCGGUUAUCUUACGAUAUCUGAGCAUGUGUACUUCACAAGGCUUUUUCAGCGUUCUUUCUUGGGCUCCAAACCCAUUCCCAAAUCUGGUCGUUAGUUGUAAUUCUGCAUCAUUAGAUUACAAGUUAGGUUCCUCUCCCUGUUCCCAGUGUCCAGCUACCAGUAAUUUCACUCCUCCCUCUAGUUCAUCUUUUCUUUCAGAGUUUCUAUUCAUAAAACCUUGCUGAACUUUAUGUUCUGUUAAAUUUUUUCAUUUUUUUCUUUCAUUUCCCACUACUGUAAUCUGUGUAUUCCCCAUGUUUUCUAAUAGUUAUAAAAGCAAGAGGAAGAUUUACGUUUUAAGUAGGUUUGUUAAAAUACUUGAAAAAUCAUUCAAGAAGUAGAAACUGGUGUGUCUUGAGCCACACUGCCUUGAUUCAAAGCCCAGUUCUGCUGAUUGGGUUAGUCAUUUAACGUUCUUUAAACAUCUGAAGAGUGAGUGCCAUAGUGGUACACAGGUUGUAUCGAGAGGGUUCUGCCAUUGGAUUCAGAUCUUCAGUGUCACUUAUUUGCUGUCUAAUCUUGGUCACAUUUACUUAACCUUUCUAAAUUGCAGCUUGCUUCUCCGUAGUUCAAAAACAAUGAUAGCACCUGCUUCUUGAGAUUAUUGUAUGGAAUGAGACAUGAAUAUAAAGCCUUUUUUUUUU